ACGCUCGACACCUACGGGGGGCAGCAGUGGGGAAUAUUGCACAAUGGGGGAAACCCUGAUGCAGCGACGCCGCGUGAGCGAAGAAGUAUUUCGGUAUGUAAAGCUCUAUCAGCAGGGAAGAAAAUGACGGUACCUGACUAAGAAGCCCCGGCUAACUACGUGCCAACAGCCGCGGUAAUCUGAGCGGGCUGGCAAGGC
rnacentral:rRNA from 1 species